rnacentral:rRNA from 1 species
UACGUAGGGGGCAAGCGUUGUCCGGAUUCAUUGGGCGUAAAGAGCGUGUAGGCGGCUCUGUGUGUCCCAUGUGAAAGCCCUCGGCUCAACCGGGGAACUGCAUGGGAAACUGCGGAGCUUGAGUCCGGGAGAGGUGAGUGGAAUUCCCAGUGUAGCGGUGAAAUGCGUAGAUAUUGGGAGGAACACCAGUGGCGAAGGCGGCUCACUGGACCGGUACUGACGCUGAGACGCGAAAGCCAGGGGAGCAAACGGG